rnacentral:lncRNA from 1 species
AUGGCUUGGCUUCAAAUUGUGCCUUCCAAAGAGCAAUUUGCAACUGGCAUGGCCUACUGCCUAUAUAUUGUAAUUUAUGAAUUCAAUGGAGAACCAGAAAAUGAACCUGGUGCAAGAAGCCUGUCUUCCUUCCACAGCUGGGAAAGCAAUAGGCCUCUCCAGGGCAGGAUUCACCAAAGCAUAUACCAGACUAUUCAUGCUGAAUGUGAAGGCAAAGAAACAAUUUACUGUUUUAAAACAAAGAGCCUAUUCCUCAGGAGACACAGACUGGUAAAUGCUAUAAGCUUAAAACACAGGGGAUCAAGACCGUGAUUGUGUCCGUUUCUGUUCUGCUCAACGCUUUUUUGUGAAGACGCGUGCUAGCUUCCUUGACUGCAAUGGAAUCCAAACGCAGGCUUAAAGACCAACAGUCUGAGUGUUGCAUCAAGCUGAGAAGAACUUGUGGGUUGUUGUCCUGGGCUCAGCUGCUUGUCUUGCCUCAACCUCUUCAGCAAAAAAUGUGAGUACCUGCAUUCAAUGCAGUGCAAAGUCACUGUUUGUCUUACAUUUGAAGCAUGGUUUUGCUGAAGUUUAAUUGUAAGCUUAUCUUCCAAUUAAUCUCCGAACCCAGCCCCAGUUGCUCUCACAAAUUUGACAGUUGCCUUGCCUACUGAGACUCUGUUACCACAAAGCCUUCAUUACCGUUACUCAUUUUACUUCAUCACCUUUUUUGCCUUCCCCUGAUCCUCCCCAUAACUGAUUAGGGCUCAUAUAGAGUGGCUUUCAGCAUAAUUUGUGUUCAAGCUUUCUCUUUCUAAUGAAAUGAGUUAUUUAUUUCUGCUGUUUCAAUCUUAAGACCAUUUUUCUCUAUUUUCUUUUUCUUUUCAUAUUGAGCCUUUAGAUAGCAUGAUAUACUCCAAUACAUUCAUGUGGUUAAAUCACAUAAUAAAAAUAUAUAACUUCAAAUUAAAGAUUAAGGA